rnacentral:rRNA from 1 species
AUCUCUGUAGAGUCUGCAUAUCAAUAAGCGGAGGAAAAGAAACUAACAAGGAUUCCCUUAGUAACGGCGAGUGAAGCGGGAAGAGCUCAAAUUUGAAUCUUCAAGGUUCUACCUUGACGAAUUGUAGUUUAAAGAAGUGUUUUCUGUUAGAUGAGUAGCAAAAGUUCCUUGGAAUGGGACAUCAUAGAGGGUGAGAAUCCCGUAUUUGGUUAUUCAUUCUAGCUUUGUGAUACACUUUCAAAGAGUCGGAUUGUUUGGGAAUGCAGUCCAAAAUGGGUGGUAAAUUUCAUCUAAAGCUAAAUAUUGGCGAGAGACCGAUAGCGAACAAGUACCGUGAGGGAAAGAUGAAAAGAACUUUGAAAAGAGAGUUAAACAGUACGUGAAAUUGUCAAAAGGGAAGCGUUUGACACCAGUGUUGUUUUUCCGAAAAUCAAUUACGAAUGGCUUGAUUUUGUGUUGUAUUGACCUUAUCAGCUUUCUUCACUUUUUUCGAGUCUUUCUUAAUGCACUUUUCGGUUAACAAGUCAACAUCAAUUUCUUUUGUUGUAAAAGAGUAUUCGGAAGGUGGCUUUCUUUUCGGAGAAAGUGUUUAUAGCCCUAUACUUCUACAAUCGGAGAGAUUGAGGUCUGCAGCGUAGAUCCUUCGGGGUUAGAUACACUUGUGCUAAGUUGUAGCUUUUCAUAGACAACUUGUUGACUAUGUUUAGUCAUGCGGCUUACUCGCUUGUGCUAUUUUACCUACGCUUAGGAUGUUGACUGAUAUGUAGUCGUA